GAUGAACGCUGGCGGCGUGCUUAACACAUGCAAGUCGAGCGAUGAAACACCUUCGGGUGCGGAUUAGCGGCGAACGGGUGAGGAACACGUGAGGAAUCUGCCUUCCACUCUGGGAUAACUCCGGGAAACCGGGGCUAAUACCGGAUACUUUCAACUGGCGGCAUCGCCGGUUGAAGAAAGUUUUUCGGUGGAAGAUGACCUCGCGGCCUAUCAGCUUGUUGGUGAGGUAAAGGCUCACCAAGGCGACGACGGGUAGCCGGCCUGAGAGAGCGACCGGCCACACUGGGACUGAGACACGGCCCAGACUCCUACGGGAGGCAGCAGUGGGGAAUAUUGGGCAAUGGAGGAAACUCUGACCCAGCGACGCCGCGUGAGGGAUGAAGGCCUUCGGGUUGUAAAGCUCUGUCCUCAAGGAAGAUAAUGACGGUACUUGAGGAGGAAGCCCCGGCUAACUACGUGCCAGCAGCCGCGGUAA
rnacentral:rRNA from 1 species